AUCACACCUUUUUAUGCUCGAUUUGAGAUCUAAAUUUUAUUGUUAAAAAAGGCUAGCUGUUGUCAAAUAAAUUUUGUGAGCAGUUUUAAUACCGAGGGUGUGUCUUAUUUUGUGAGUUUUCAUUGGUUUGGAGUUUUUAGACCCUUCAUUGUUGACCAGUGGAAAACUUCCCGCCGAAGUGUUUCAAAUAGCACUUUGUCUUCAAACGAACAAGAUGGACACAUGCAGUUUACAGAAGCAAAAGAUUUGAUUUGAACUGUUCGUGAAACCACACAUACUCAAGAGAAUUUACAAGACUAUUAUCCACAAAAUGCAACAGUCUUAUUUUGAUGAAUUGUUGAACCAGAGAAAUGUGAAGACUUACAGACACCUAGACUGUAUAGUCAACAUAACAAUGAUUAGAGAAUCGGACUACAGUGAACAUUACAAUGAUUAGAAAAUCAGACUAGAGUCAACAUUACAAUGAUUAGAGAAUCAGACUAUAGUCAACAUUACAAUGAUUAGAAAAUCACCCAGCUGCAUUUCAUCAAUCAGUUUAUGAUGAAGCUUUACAGCAUUGGAAAUGAUUACUCAGGGACCAAACAACUGAGCAGAAAGAAGAACCGUAUGACCUUGAAGAGUAAGCAAUGUAUUAAGUAUAUUUGUGGUUACCAAAG